AAAAAUAAAAAAAUGAAAAAACAAUGAGGGAAAAAAGUAAAGAAAAGAACACCAACAAAAUUAAUAUCCUACCCCUUCUUAUUAAAAUUAAGAUCUUUUGAUGGUUCCUGCUACUAAUGCAAAUGUAAACUAAGAUGAAAUACAUUAAAUUUGUGAAACAGCCUGUAGAUGGAGGAACCUACUAUUGUUGGUCUGUUCCCCGUUUAUUAUUUUACAGGUGAAGAGAUAUUGGAUUUAAAAGCACCAAGAUGCCGUGAAGAUGUAGAACUCUCACACCCAAAACAUUCCAAUUCAAUAAAAAAACCAAAUAUGACCAGAGGUUACAUCCUUAUCCGAAAAAAAUCAGAAAAUUCCUAAAUUUACACUAUGAAAAAAUUAUUCAUUUAAUAAGUUUAAUACAACUAGAAAAUGCAAAGGAAGAAUAAAAGCUGUGAAAAGAUCAUUCCCUCCAUUACCAGCUUUGUAACAAUUAGGGUCCAGCUAUGCCUACAGGGAGGAAUAUAUAAUAUGUUAGAAAUGCCCUUGCAUAUAUGGGAAAGUAGUUACCACAGUGCCUUUAUCCACAAGGUACAGCCAUUAAGCCCACAAAGGCCUUCCUACUCCUUUUCUAAACAAAAUCCAAAAAUAUAUAGGGGAAUUGAAGCCCACACAAUUUUUCCCUACUUUUAGAAGAGCAAUUAUGCCCACCAAGCCACAAUUCAUUUUCAAUUUGCUAUGCAGCUAGUCAACAUGAUCCCAUUCCAAGGAACAAAUAGGCAAUUCUCAAAGCUAUCCACA
rnacentral:misc_RNA from 1 species